rnacentral:rRNA from 1 species
CGCGUAGGCGGUGCUGUAAGUCAGGCGUGAAAUCCCCGGGCUCAACCUGGGAAUUGCGCAUGAUACUGCGGCGCUGGAAUGCGGGAGAGGAUGGCGGAAUUCCCAGUGUAGAGGUGAAAUUCGUAGAUAUUGGGAAGAACACCGGUGGCGAAGGCGGCCAUCUGGCCCGUAAUUGACGCUGAGGCGCGAAAGCGUGGGGAGCAAACA